GUGGGUUAGGUAACAACUGAGGUAAGGAAGAUUUGGUAGCUGGUAGGAUGUUCCUUGUGGUGUUUUGAACCCUCUAAGUUGUUACUUUCGAAGAAUUUAUGUAACGAAUGGCGUAAUUAGGAGUAGGCUUGGUUCCUGGCAUAUAUUUCUCUUCAUACAGUUUAGCUAAUGCUACUGCUCAUAAUAGGUUUGUUGGAGUCAAGGAAAUCACAUCUCUUCUAAUAUCAACAUUUAAACCACUCAUAAAGCAAUUUAAAAUAGCUUCCUCGGUUAAACCCUCACAUCUAUUUGCAAGCGACAUAAAUUUCAUAUAGUAAUCUGAUACCGAUCCUUGCUGUUGCAGCCUAAACAUUUCUGCCAUUGGACAAUCGAAGGGAGAGGGCCCAAAUUGAGAUUCCAGAGCACGUGUCAAUGUUGUCCAAGUGGUGACUACUUCAAUCUUCUGCAACAUUUGGAACCAUGGCACCACAUAUUUCUCAAAAUGCAUAGAAGCUAUUUCAAUACAAUCAGCAUCAGGUGUGUUGUGGUAGUUGAAGAACUUAUCUGCUUUGAAAAUCCAUUCUAACACUGGUGUGGAGCC
rnacentral:lncRNA from 1 species